rnacentral:rRNA from 1 species
GUGGGGAAUCUUCCGCAAUGGACGAAAGUCUGACGGAGCAACGCCGCGUGAGUGAUGAAGGUUUUCGGAUCGUAAAACUCUGUUGUUAAGGACGAAUGUAUAGAUUGUGAAUAAUGGUUUAUAAUGACGGUACUUAACGAGGAAGCCACGGCUAACUACGUGCCAGCAGCCGCGGUAAUACGUAGGUGGCAAGCGUUGUCCGGAAUUAUUGGGCGUAAAGGGAGCGCAGGUGGGAAUGUAAGUCAAUCUUAAAAGUGCGGGGCUCAACCCCGUGAUGGGAUAGAAACUACAUUUCUUGAGUGCAGGAGAGGAAAGUGGAAUUCCUAGUGUAGCGGUGAAAUGCGUAGAUAUUAGGAGGAACACCAGUGGCGAAGGCGACUUUCUGGACUGUUACUGACACUGAGGCUCGAAAGCUAGGGGAGCGAACGGGAUUAGAAACCCGAGUAGUCC